AAGUAAUUAAAUUUGCCCGGUUAGAGUAAAUUCAGAUGUGUUGCAAGCACAUAAAACACUGGGUUAUUUUCGAUGUCAGGAUGAGAGUUAUACGGGAACUUUAAUUCACUCUAAUGUUGGAAAGGAGUUUCUACAAUUACACAUAAUCCACAUUUAACUACAAAGCGGGCACUACUGAGUGGAUAAAACUUUUUUGGUUUAACAGCAGAGGUG